AUGGCGUGUGCUCGUCCACUGAUAUCAGUGUACUCUGAAAAGGGGGAGUCAUCUGGCAAAAAUGUCACUUUGCCUGCUGUGUUCAAGGCUCCCAUUCGACCCGAUAUUGUUAACUUCGUUCACACCAACUUGCGCAAAAACAACAGACAGCCCUAUGCUGUCAGUGAAUUAGCAGGUCAUCAAACCAGUGCUGAGUCUUGGGGUACUGGCAGAGCUGUGGCUCGAAUUCCCAGGGUUCGAGGUGGCGGAACUCACCGUUCUGGUCAGGGUGCUUUUGGAAAUAUGUGUCGUGGAGGCCGCAUGUUUGCACCAACCAAGACCUGGCGACGUUGGCACCGCAGAGUGAAUACAACGCAGAAGCGAUACGCCAUCUGCUCUGCACUGGCUGCCUCAGCCUUACCGGCGCUGGUCAUGUCUAAAGGUCAUCGUAUAGAGGAAGUUCCUGAACUUCCUUUGGUGGUGGAAGAUAAAGUUGAAGGCUACAAGAAGACCAAGGAGGCUGUUUUGCUUCUGAAGAAACUUAAGGCCUGGAAUGAUAUCAAAAAGGUCUACGCCUCUCAGCGAAUGAGAGCCGGCAAAGGCAAAAUGAGAAACCGGCGCCGCAUCCAGCGCAGGGGACCCUGCAUCAUCUAUAAUGAGGACAAUGGGAUCAUCAAGGCCUUCAGAAACAUCCCUGGAAUUACUCUGCUUAAUGUAAGCAAGCUGAACAUUUUGAAACUUGCUCCUGGUGGUCACGUGGGACGUUUCUGCAUUUGGACUGAAAGUGCUUUCCGAAAGUUAGAUGAGCUAUAUGGCACUUGGCGUAAAGCAGCCUCCCUCAAGAGUAACUACAACCUCCCCAUGCACAAGAUGCUCAAUACAGACCUUAGCAGAAUCUUGAAAAGCCCAGAAAUCCAAAGAGCACUCCGAGCACCACGCAAGAAGAUUCAUCGCAGAGUCCUGAAGAAGAAUCCACUGAAAAACCUGAGAAUCAUGUUGAAGCUUAACCCGUACGCAAAGACCAUGCGCCGGAACACCAUUCUUCGGCAGGCCAGGAAUCACAAAAUCCGCAUGGAUAAGGCAGCAGCAGCACUAGAAGCCAAAUCAGAUCAGAAGGGGGUUCAGGGCAAGAAGCCUGUGGUGGGAAACAAAGAAAAGAAGGCUGUUGGUGAUAAGAAGCUGAAGAAGCCUGUGGUGGGAAAAAAGGCUGCAGGGACCAAGAAACCAAGGAAAAGAAGGCUGCUGCAUAAACUUAAAUUUGUUUUUUCCAUAAAUGCCAAAUCAUUUUGGACAGCUAAUUUUGAAUAAAGACCUGAACAAAGAGGCAAUGAGGAACAUGACUUGGAUGUGUUGUGUGAGUUGUGGUUUUAAAGUAACGUCUUGAGAAACAGAUGAUUUAAAGACUUAGAAAUACACAGAAACUCAUUAUUUAGCUUCCCCCCAAAACCACUUUGGAAAAUGGGCCAUGUUCCAUAAAGAUUUGACAUUUUUGAUAACCACAAGAGGGCAGGUUCAGAGAACAGUUUUUAAAAGAUAGCAAUAAAAAACUUAUUUUCCCUUCA
rnacentral:lncRNA from 1 species